GCAGUAGUAGUUCAGUGGUAGAAUUUUCAUCUUCCAUGUGGGAGACCUGGGUUUGAUCCCUGGCCAAUGCA
rnacentral:tRNA from 1 species